UACGUAGGGGGCAAGCGUUGUCCGGAAUCAUUGGGCGUAAAGCGCGCGCAGGCGGCCCGGUAAGUCCGCUCUGAAAGUCCAGGGCUCAACCCUGGAAAGCGGGUGGAUACUGCCGGGCUAGAAUCCGGAAGAGGCGAGUGGAAUUCCUGGUGUAGCGGUGGAAUGCGCAGAUAUCAGGAGGAACACCAAUAGCGAAGGCAGCUCGCUGGGACGGUAUUGACGCUAAGGCGCGAAAGCGUGGGGAGCGAACGGG
rnacentral:rRNA from 1 species